rnacentral:rRNA from 1 species
UGGUGGAGUGAUUUGUCUGCUUAAUUGCGUUAACGAACGAGACCUUAACCUGCUAAAUAGUCGCGCCUAUCUUCGGAUGAGCGCAUGACUUCUUAGAGGGACUCUGUGCAUCUAGUACAGGGAAGUUUGAGGCAACAACA